rnacentral:lncRNA from 1 species
UAAAAUCAAUCCUAUCGCAAUCUGAAACUACGAAAGGGGAAAAAGAAAAGAACUUGCAAGAUAUCUGACAACGAGCAACGAUUUCAAAGUGUUGGGCCAAGACGUCGACGACCCACUGGCAACCUAGCACGCUAGAGACCUGGCUCAGCGAGCCAAUGUAGGCGGUGGAUGUGUCGGCGACGGCAGGCUUGGUGAAAGGAGACGUGACGGGCUUAGCGGAGCAUACGACAAGGUGCAUGAGAGAGGAGAGUGAAAGAGGGGACCUCCCCGGAGAAGAGGUUGUUGGAAAGGUCGAGGAUUACCCUCUUGGUGUCACUGAAAUCAUUUUGAAAAGGUUAAAACCAUUUAGGCGUCCCUAUUUUCGUAAGGUAUUCCCAUUUUGGUCUCCUUCUUUUAAAACUUCUCAAUUGGGUCCUUAUAACUGGUAAUUUCAAACAAAUUAGUCCCUACCGUUAAAAAUCGUUAACGGUGUUAAUUUUCUGCUAAGGUGGUUCGAUGAUGUGUUAAAUUAGAUGAUACGUGGCAUGCCGUUGUUGACCAGCUUUGACCAGAGAGGCAGCGUCCAAUGAUAUGUCGCCACGUGGCAACCCUCUUUCUCACCCAAUUAGGGCUUUCUGAUGUGCAGAGAUGAGAAAGGCUUAUGCUUCUGCGCCGUGAAGUGAUUUUUGGUGAUGAAGACUGGAAUCUUGUGAGAACCUGGUGGCGCGAUUGGACUUGGUUUUUU